rnacentral:rRNA from 1 species
AAUAGAUACCCAGGUAGUCCAUGCCGUAAACGUUGGGCGCUAGAUGUGGGGACCAUUCCACGGUUUCCGUGUCGCAGCUAACGCAUUAAGCGCCCCGCCUGGGGAGUACGGCCGCAAGGCUAAAACUCAAAGGAAUUGACGGGGGCCCGCACAAGCGGCGGAGCAUGCGGAUUAAUUCGAUGCAACGCGAAGAACCUUACCAAGGCUUGACAUAUACGAGAACGCUCUAGAAAUAGAGAACUCUUUGGACACUCGUAUACAGGUGGUGCAUGGUUGUCGUCAGCUCGUGUCGUGAGAUGUUGGGUUAAGUCCCGCAACGAGCGCAACCCUCGUUCUAUGUUGCCAGCGGUUCGGCCGGGAACUCAUAGGAGACUGCCGGGGUCAACUCGGAGGAAGGUGGGGAUGACGUCAAAUCAUCAUGCCCCUUAUGUCUUGGGCUUCACGCAUGCUACAAUGGCCGGUACAAAGGGCUGCAAUACCGUAAGGUGGAGCGAAUCCCAAAAAGCCGGUCUCAGUUCGGAUUGAGGUCUGC